rnacentral:rRNA from 1 species
UACGGAGGGUGCAAGCGUUAUCCGGAUUCACUGGGUUUAAAGGGUGCGUAGGCGGGCUAUUAAGUCAGUGGUGAAAGCCCCAAGCUUAACUUGGGAACUGCCAUUGAUACUGAUGGUCUUGAGUACAUUUGAGGUGGGCGGAAUGUGUCAUGUAGCGGUGAAAUGCUUAGAUAUGACACAGAACACCGAUUGCGAAGGCAGCUCACUAAACUGUAACUGACGCUGAGGCACGAAAGCGUGGGGAGCAAACAGG